CCCCGACAGGUGACCGCCUCCCAGACAGGUGACCCUCCCCGACAGGUGACCGCCUCCCAGACAGGUGACCCUCCCCGACAGGUGCCCCUUGCCGACAGGUGCGCCUCCCCGAUAGGUGUCUGCCUCCCUGACAGGUGCCCCUCCCCGACAGGUGGCCCUCCCUGACAGGUCUCCCUCCCUGACAGGUGGCCCUCCCUGACAGGUCUCCCUCCCUGACAGGUGCGCCUCCCCGACAGGUGACCCUCCCCCUCCCUGAUAAGUGUCCCCCCUCCCCGACAGGUGACCCUCGCCGACAGGUGCGCCUCCCCAACAGGUGUCUGCCUUCCUGACAGGUCUCCCUCCCUGACAGGUGUCUGCCUCACCGACAGGUGACCCUCCCCCUCCCUGAUAAGUGUCCCCCCUCCCUGACAGGUGACCCUUGCCAACAGGUGACCCUCCCCGACAGGUGUGCCUCCCCGACAGGUGUUCGCCUCCCCGACAGGUGACCCUCCCCGACAGGUGCGCCUCCCUGACAGGUGACCCCGACAGGUACACCUCCCGGCAGGUGUCCGCCUCCCAGACAGGUGCGCCUCCCCGACAGGUGUCCGCCUCCCUGACAGGUGCCCCUCCCGGACAGGUGUCCCUCGCCGACAGGUGUCCCCCCUCCCUGACAGGUGUCCCUCCCGGACAGGUGACCCUCGCUGACAGGUGUCCCGAACGAUGCCCGCCCCAGGCAGUCUGCUGGAGCACCUACCCAGGCAGGGGCCACCUUUAAGAAACCACCCAAAACCCAGUAGUCAAGACAGAUAACAUUUUAAUUUCCUUUAAGGAAAUCCAAGAUGAACCGAGUAUCCAAAUCGGUAUUCCUAGGUUUUCCUUCUGCCCCAGGCUCUCGAUGGCUCUAUGAGGAUCCUGUCUUUCAAAUGGGCACAAUGCAGAAAAAUGUAAAGAGGAAAACGAAAAUCUUCUGUAAUCUCCCAAAAACCUCCCUUUGGAUGUUUUGGGGGCGCUGCAUCAAGAGAGAGAUGAUUGAGACUUCCUCUUGACAACUUCAGUGCCCUUCUGCGUAUUCACCUGUCCUGGCAGGAGGUGUUAGACACGUGAUUCCACAAACACCUGAGGUCCUGCUGUGCAUCAUGCAGGUCGAGGGGUAUAAAGCUUAAGACAGUUUCUCUCAAAGAACAUUGUGGACUAGAAUGUGUGGAACAGACCGUUGCGCAGAAGAGCAGCUGCACUCCACGGGAACCACAUCCUGGGAAUCUUUCAGGAAUGCCGCCGGCACCCUGAGCUAGGCUGGCUGUCCCCUCCCAGGGACCUGUCUGUCCUUGUACCUUUGUAAUAUCCAGGGCACCUGGCCGAGGCUACUCGCUGCCCUCAUGGGUCUUUUAUCAAAAUGAUCUAGGCUACUGGUAUUUUUUUUUUAAACUGCCAGAUGACUAUUAGAAUAACUGUGAGAUUUAUCCCCCCAAAAACUCAAAGUCAUUUUCAAAAGAAAUGUAUUAAAUCUAUAAAUUUGGGAGAAAGUAUAUCUUUACAAUAUUUAUUCUUACAUCUCUAUAGAUUUUUAUGUUGUAUACCUCCUACUGAGAUGUAUAGGUUCUUAGUUUUUUUAGGGUUAUUACUGUUGUUUUGAGGGCAUUUUUCCACUGUUAUGAAUGAGAGUCCCCCAUGAUACUAUCUAAAUCUAACUGGUGAGUGUUGAUACACAGAUUCCUAGGAAAUAAAAGCUUGUUUGGGCAAUUAUUUCUUGAUUCA
rnacentral:lncRNA from 1 species